CUUCAGACCAAACACAUCAUGACUCAACAACAAAAGAAGGGUAAGAAGAAUUCUAGCUGAGGCAUAUCCAAAGCUUUGGCCCAGUGGAUUCAGGCAUGGCCCAAACCUUUUGGAGCGGAGUGGCGGCUGCCGUGUCAUGAGAGGCAGUGGAAAAUAUGACAACAGAAGAGAAGGCACUGUGACCAUGGAGGCAGCCACAAGCCAUGGGAUGCUGGCAGCUACCAGAAGCUGGGAGAAGCAAGGAAUAGAUUUUCCCCUGUAACCUUUGGAAGAAAUGUGGUCCUGUUGACAUUCUGAUUUUGGCCCAGUGAAACUGAUUUCAAACCUUCCUCCAGAACUGUGAAAGAAUAAAUUUCUGUGUUUUAAGCUGCCA
rnacentral:lncRNA from 1 species